rnacentral:rRNA from 1 species
AUUGAACGCUGGCGGCAGGCCUAACACAUGCAAGUCGAGCGGAGCGGCGGACGGGUGAGUAAUGCCUAGGAAUCUGCCUGGUAGUGGGGGAUCACGUCCGGCAACGUGCGCUAAUACCGCCUACUCUCAUUUGACCCUAGGUCGUAGUAGCUAGUUGGUGGGGUAAAGGCCUACCAAGGCGACGAUCCGUACCGGGUCUGAGAGGAUGAUCAGUCACACUGGAACUGAGACACGGUCCAGACUCCUAAGGGAGGCAGCAGUGGGGAAUAGUGGACAAUGGGCGAAAGCCGGAUCCAGCCAUGCCGGGUGUGUGAAGAAGGUCUUCGGAUUGUAAAGCACGUUAAGUUGGGAGGCGUUACCAACAGAAUAAGCACCGGCUAACUUCGUGCCAGCAGCCGCGGUAAUAC